rnacentral:lncRNA from 1 species
AGAUUUCUAUGGGCUUAGAUUUUCCUGAUAAUUGAUUUGUUAUCUUGCCCACGAAGUGUUUGAUAACUUUCCCCGAAGAAUUAUUUUGUGCAAUUCUUAGGACAUUUUUGUGGCUUGCAUUAUGCUUUGUACUUGAUUUCUCUUGUAACCUACCACAUGUUCAAUAUAUUGUCUCAUUGAAAUUUUUGUGCCUACUUUUGACACACUUCAUCUACUAAGGCAAAUUCAUUAAAUUGGUUUAGGUGGUUCACUUCACGUCUCUUGUUGACAUUGGGAAGAACAUUAACACCAUGCCUUCUAAAAAGAAAUCUAAGGUUACUGCCUCCUUAU